rfam:Glycine max cultivar Williams 82 chromosome 6, whole genome shotgun sequence.
UUCUAAUUGAACGAUGACUGUCACGUGUUACGUUCUGAUUAGAUGUUGACUCUAUGGACGAUGAAAAUGUAUUGUUGUUGUUAACGUUCAAUCAGAACGUGACAUGUGAUAGUCAUCAUCC